rnacentral:snRNA from 1 species
CGUCCUUCUCGGCCUUUUGGCUAAGAUCAAGUGUAGUAUCUGUUCUAAUCAGUGUGAAAACUGGUUUUCCUCAUUUUUGGGGAUCUUUUUCACAUUCAUUUUUGGGCUUUUCGGGAAACUUAGCUUGCUAACGUUUCUCGAAACGGUCUCCGGGGGGUUUCACCACUACCCCCGCAAGGCCAACUACCU